UACGUAGGGGGCAAGCGUUGUCCGGAUUUAUUGGGCGUAAAGAGCGUGUAGGCGGCCAGACAGGUCCGUUGUGAAAACUGGAGGCUCAACCUCCAGACGUCGAUGGAAACCGUCUGGCUAGAGUCCGGAAGAGGAGAGUGGAAUUCCUGGUGUAGCGGUGAAAUGCGUAGAUAUCGAGAGGAACACCAGUGGCGCAAGCGGCUGACUGGCCGAGACCUGAUGCUGAGACACGACGGCGUGGGGAGCAAACCGG
rnacentral:rRNA from 1 species